rnacentral:lncRNA from 1 species
UCCUACCUAUAUCCUCUCACCCAGUGUCACAUUCUCCAACAGUGCAAGAUUCUCCAGUACCACCUCCACCUCCCCCUUCCACCAAUACUCAUUCCAUGAUUACUCGGUCCAAAGCUGGGAUUUUUAAACCCAAAGCAUUGGUUGCUACUAAACACCCUAUUGAUUCAUUGAAUUUUGUUCCUACAACCUUUCUAAAAGCCUCUAAGCAUGCUUA